GAACCCAGCCAUCUUGGCUCUUUCGCGUCAGACUCCAGGCGAGACUGACCAGAUAAAGAGAACUCACCAUCAGACGUCUAAACAGCGCGUUUCCUUUUUAAUCUGCUCCUGAUCAAAGUAGAUAUCGGAAACACGCGAUCAUCAACUCAAGCGAGUUAUUAAACCGGUUUUUGCAAGUAUUAUUUUCUUUUAAAAGCGUACGCAACAGCAAGUGAAAGCAAUUUUAUUUUUGCUUAGAAAAGUGGCUGGCCCCCCUUUUCUCUUCUUAAAUCCGCGCGCACGGCACUGCUGAAAAGACUUUCGUCAUCAUCCAUGAAGAUCUUCAAAGCAAUCUCUCUCUCUCCCUCACCGAAGACUUCCGACCUCAGGAAGCGCGCGCAACUUCCUCGAGCUUCCAACUUCAGACAGAAGACGAACUUCCUUUGCAGUAAGAAGAUCGAUGCAUCAGACAGAGGGCUAGGGGCCAUUUUGUCCCAAACGGUGGAGGGGGAGGAGCGUCCUGUGCUGUACAUCAGCUGCAAGCUCUCCAUGCCAGAAAGGAAGUAAAGCACCAUUGAGAAGGAGUGCUUGGCCAUCAAGUGGGUGGUCCUCACCCUCUGUUACUUCCUGCUGGGAUGCCCUUUCACCCUCUGCUUGGAUCACGCCCCGCUCCAGUGGCUUCACCGCAUGAAGGAUGCCAACACUCGGCUCACCCAUUGUAAGGAGAUAAAAGGGGAGAGCAGCAGAGUGGGUUCUUCUUCCCCCCAAUUGAUGUCACAUCCAUGCAGCAGCACACAACACAUCAAUGUGAAACUUCCGAAAAGAGUGUUUUAUGCAAUCUUGUGGUUUGGAAAUAAAACUGAGACUGAACAUGA